rnacentral:lncRNA from 1 species
AGCGGGGCCCGGCGGCCGCGCCCUACGCCCCGAGCCAGUCCCGUUCCCUCCCUCCGGAAGACCCCGGUGGUUCCCGGCUCCGACCCAGCACACUCACCUGCCAGCCGCUGCCGUCCGCCAUGUCUGGGCGACCGGCGCGCCAAGCCCGCCCCUCAGUCCGCCAGCCAAUGAAAAAUGAAGAAAACGGCACCUCGUGAUCGACUGACAGAAGAACUAAUGAGCACCGACACAUUCAAUCACGUCUUCGCCCCCUUCUUCGAGAAGCGCCGACAAACAGGACGAGCAACCAAUAGCAACCGAGGGCGGCUGCGGCGCGCGCGGAGGGCCGGGGUCGCAGGGUAAAUCCGGGGCGAGACCUGGCGCGAAGCCUACGCGACCACCGCGACGACAGCGCCAUUCACCCCGGGCCAGGCGGGCAUCCUGGGCCGCGCAGCUACCUUACGUCAGCCGCCUCUCAAAUCACACGGCUCUGGCCAGUUCUUUUCAGCAGCUUUAUGAGAUUUUCUCAAAUCUCAACAAUCCGGUAUAUUUUCAAAAGUACAUACUGAGCAUCAAGGUGGUGCAGCGAACCUCCCAGAUCUGCAGCUCCAGCAGUCUUGCUUGAGCGUCCACUCAGGAUGGAGGUGAACUCGCAAAGUAACUGAGAUUGGUUGGGCAUGACAUAUGGUGGAUCUAGGGUUGAAUGACCUCCCCAGGGAACGCAGGCUUGAAGUGGAGGCUGAGAAUGCAAUCCGAGUACAGCCAUAGGCCGGUCAAAGGAAGAAGAGGAUUCUGGAAUGUUCAACACACAUCCCUGCACCUGGCUCCCCACUAACUGUAGCAUGUUAUACCUGCAAUAGAGCACUGUUUAGUAUUUAUGUGGUCACAUUCAUGUAAAUUUGAGUCACAGCUGCAUUUAGUCUUCCUUUGCCGCACAGCCUUCCAUUCAUCCUGGUGUCAAUAGCUGUGUUUGGCUUCUUCCUCUAUUCAAUCACAGCCUGCAUUGCAUGGAGUUCAUCUGUUUUGACAAACCUGUGUCUCCUGGGCCUUCGCCCUGCCGUACCUGGACUGGCCUUUCUCUAGGUGCCGUACAUGUUAGUGGGGGCUCCUUAUUUCCUGGAUUCUAUGACUUUCUUAUUUCUACCUUAUUCCUUCAUUUUAGUGAGGAACACCUCCUAGGAGCUUCCUGAGAAAAGAUGCAUGAGGAUUAUCUUCUUGUGAGUUCCUUUUUUCUAAUCUCAUAUUUCAUUGAUAGGCUGGUUGGUAUGUUAGUCUGCUAGGGCUGCCAUAUAAAAUGCCAAAGAUAGGGUGGCUCAAACAACAGAAAUUUAUUCUUCAUAGUUUUGGAGGCUAGAAGUGCAGGAUCAAGGUGUCAGCAGGUUUGGUUUCCUCUGACACCCUUUUCCUUGGCUUGCAGAUGGCUGCCUUCUUGCUGUGUCCUCACAUGGCCCUUCCUAUGUCCAAAUUUCCUCUUCUUAAAAGGACACCAGAUUGAAUUAUGGCCAACUCUAAUGGUCUUAUUUUAACUUAAUUGCUUCUUUAAAUGGCCCUAUCUGAGUUACUGGGGGUUAGGGCUUCAACACAGAAACACUGGAGGGACACAAUCCAGCUCAUAAGAGUUGGUACAGAAUUUUAGGUUGGAAAAAAUUUCCCCUCAGAAUUUUGAGUAUAUUGCUCCACUAUCUUCUAGUUUCCUCUGUGUCCUGCUAAGAUGAUGUCCCUUUUUUUGGGAGACAGGGACUUACUGUUACCCAGGCUGGAGUGCAGUGGUGUGAUCUCAGCUCACAGCAGCCUCCACCUCCCAGGCUCAAGUGAUGCUCCCAACUCAGCAUUAAAGUAGCUGGGACUAUAGGUGCGUGCCACCAUGCUUGGCUAAUUUUUAAAAUUUUCUGUAGAGACAGGGUCUCCCUAUAUUGCCCAGGCUGGUCUCAAACUCCUGGGCUCAGAUGAUCUUCCCGCAUCAGCCUCCCAAAGUGUUGGGAUUACAGGUGUGAGCCAUGGCGCUUGGCUGAUGAUGUCCUUAAUGCAUGGUGAUACCUCUGUUCUCUCUCUAGAAGCUUUAGGAUCUUUCUUUGCCUCAAAGUGGGGCUAUUUUCAUUCAUUUUGCUGGAACUCAGUGAGCCCUUCAAAUCUGCAAAAUUGUGCCCAUCUUUGGGGAAACUAUUUCCCUGAUGAUUUCUGCUCCUUUGGUUUCUGUGGCUGUUCUUCCCACAAAUCCUCUAUUAUUUAGAUGCUGGAAUGGAAAGCUUUCUGACUGUGGCCUUCACUUCAGAGAUAGUAGUCUAGAGACCUACUGGAGUCGAGCCUCCAGCCUUCUGGGAUGGGGGAGGGAGGGUAAUGCAGCUCUAACUGCUUAGUAACAGAAUUCUGUCUUUAGUCCCUCAUUUCUAGAGGUGCCUUUUGAGAAUUCCACAAUCUACACAGAACUGCUUCUAGGCUUUCUAUGGUCUACUAAGGUACCUGGGGCUUCCAAAGCCUUGUAGUUGCCUCCUCUUCCACUGUCUUUCUUACCUCAUGACCUUUAGCCACAGCCUUAGUGGGGCUGCAGGAUGGAAUAGAGCUAAAUAUGUCUUCAAUCCCAUCUUUAAACAUAUACUUCUUAAAUACAUAUUUAUGGUCAAACAGGCCUGCUGUGCCCACUGGCCUCCCCUGCCUUCUGUAAAUUUGCAACAGUCAGGUCACAGUCAGCCUGGGGGACGUCCCAUGCUAAGGUCUUAGGUCGGAGUCAGGCACUGGCUUUUAGUGAGAAAGGCAGCCUGUAGCUGGUGAAGCCUGGAUGGUGCCUGAAGGAGGAGCUGGAGGGUGAGGUCUGACUGGCCACUAUGUUUGCUCCUCUGAGCCUGAAAGGUCCCAAUGCCCAAUGCUGUUUCAACUUGAACAUUGAGCCCAGAAGUGGUUGUGAGUAGGACCAGGUGUGCAAACUUCACAGUGGUCUCUGUCCCCAACCACCCCAAGUGCUAGAGAAAAGAGUUCAGUAAUUGGGAUGGCUCCCAUGUAGCAGCUGGUCCUGAAUGGGUGGCUCAGUACAUCUGCCCUCUGCCCUGAUCCUGGAUCCUCAAGGGUCCAAUCCUUUGAGAAAAGGAACCAGGAGAGCGAUGGGUCUGAAGCGCUGGUGUUGUAGAAAUCCUCAUCACAAAGAGGUGACUGCGUUCCAGUUGCUGCCAGGCCUGGCCAUAUUCCCACAAAGUGCCCAUGUCUACAGGAUGCUCAGCCCUUGCCUUCCUCUGUCCCGCCACCACCCUGCUCAGCUAGAAGGUGCUGCCUAUAUUUGAAGUUCAAGGUCUCUGUUGGAAGACGAAGCCCACCCAGGGCACACAGUUCUGUGAUAACAGAGCCUGGAGUCGGCUCUAGAGCAAGACAGAGCUCCUGACCCCCAUGCUGCAAGUCUUCUGUUUCAUACACCCUACACCAGCUCUACAGAAAAAAACAGGACACCAGGGAGCAGAGGGACCCUAGGAAAGGGAAAACAUGACAGACACCCUCAUGUGGUUUGGCUGCGUCCCCACCCAAAUCUCAUCUUGAAUUACCACGUGUUGUGGGAGGGACCAGGUGGGAGGUAACUGAGUCGGUGGGAGGUAACUGAGUCAUGAGGGCGGGUCUUUUCCGUGCUGUUAUCAUGAUAGUGAAUAAGUCUCAUGAGAUCUGAUGGUUUUAUAAGUAGGUGUUUCCCUGCACCAGCUUUUUCUCUGCCUGCUACCAUCCAUGUAAGAUGUGACUUGCCCCCUGCCAUGAUUGUGAGGCCUCCCCAGCCAUGUGAACUGUAAGUCCAUUAAACCUCUUUCUUUUGUAAA